UACGAAGGGGGCUAGCGUUGUUCGGAAUUACUGGGCGUAAAGCGUGCGCAGGCGGCUUCUCAAGUCAGGGGUGAAAGCCCAGAGCUCAACUCUGGAAUUGCCUUUGAGACUGAGUGGCUUGAGUACGAGAGAGGUGAGUGGAAUUCCCAGUGUAGAGGUGAAAUUCGUAGAUAUUGGGAAGAACACCCGUGGCUAAGGCGGCUCUCUAGUACGGUACUGACGCUGAGACGCGAAAGCGUGGGGAGCGAACAGG
rnacentral:rRNA from 1 species